UACGUAGGGGGCAAGCGUUGUCCGGAUUUAUUGGGCGUAAAGUGUGCGCAGGCGGCAGAGCAAGUCGAGUGUGAAAGCCCCGGGCUUAACUUGGGAAUUGCGCUCGAAACUACUUUGCUGGAGUGUGGCAGAGGAAGGUGGAAUUCCACGUGUAGCGGUGAAAUGCGUAGAGAUGUGGAGGAACACCAAUGGCGAAGGCAGCCUUCUGGGCCAACACUGACGCUCAUGCACGAAAGCGUGGGGAGCAAACAGG
rnacentral:rRNA from 1 species